rnacentral:rRNA from 1 species
GACGAACGCUGGCGGCGUGCUUAACACAUGCAAGUCGAACGGAAAGGCCCUGCUUUUGUGGGGUUCUCGAGUGGCGAACGGGUGAGUAACACGUGAGUAACCUGCCCUUGACUUUGGGAUAACUUCAGGAAACUGGGGCUAAUACCGGAUAGGAGCUCCUGCUGCAUGGUGGGGGUUGGAAAGUUUCGGCGGUUGGGGAUGGACUCGCGGCUUAUCAGCUUGUUGGUGGGGUAGUGGCUUACCAAGGCUUUGACGCGUAGCCGGACUGAGAGGGUGACCGGCCACAUUGGGACUGAGAGACGGCACAGACUCCGACGGGAGGCAGAAGUGGGGAAUAUUGCACAAUGGGCGGAGGCCUGAUGAAGCAACGCCGCGUGCGGGAUGACGGCCUUCGGGUUAUAAACCGCUUUCGCCUGUGACGAAGCGUGAGUGACGGUAAUGGGUAAAGAAGCAACGGCUAACUACGUG